rnacentral:rRNA from 1 species
AUUGAACGCUGGCGGCAGGCCUAACACAUGCAAGUCGAACGGUAACAGGAAGCAGCUUGCUGCUUUGCUGACGAGUGGCGGACGGGUGAGUAAUGUCUGGGAAACUGCCCGAUGGAGGGGGAAAACUACUGGAAACGGUAGCUAAUACCGCAUAACUUCGCAAGACCAAAGAGGGGGACCUUAGGGCCUCUUGCCAUCGGCUGUGCCCAGAUUGGAUUAGCUAGUAGGUGGGGUAACGGCUCACCAAGGCGACGAUCCCUAGCUGGUCUGAGAGGGUGACCAGCCACACUGGAACUGAGACACGGUCCAGACUCCUACGGGAGGCAGCAGUAGGGAAUCUUGCGCAAAGGGCGAAAGCCUGACGGAGCAAUGCCGCGUGUAUGAAGAAGGCCUUCGGGUUGUAAAGUUCUGUCAUCGGGGAGGAAGAAAGUUAUGUGUAUCUCUUCGCUCAUUGACGUUACCCGAACAGAAAGCCCCGGCUAACUCCGUG